AACGAACGCUGGCGGCAGGCCUAACACAUGCAAGUCGAGCGAGACCUUCGGGUCUAGCGGCGGACGGGUGAGUAACGCGUGGGAAUAUGCCCUUUGGUACGGAAUAGCCUCGGGAAACUGAGAGUAAUACCGGAUGUGCACUUCGGGGGAAAGAUUUAUCGCCAAAGGAUUAGCCCGCGUUGGAUUAGGUAGUUGGUAGGGUAAUGGCCUACCAAGACUACGAUCCAUAGCUGGUUUGAGAGGAUGAUCAGCCACACUGGGACUGAGACACGGCCCAGACUCCUACGGGAGGCAGCAGUGGGGAAUCUUAGACAAUGGGGGAAACCCUGAUCUAGCCAUGCCGCGUGAGUGAUGAAGGCCUUAGGGUUGUAAAGCUCUUUCAGCUGGGAAGAUAAUGACGGUACCAGCAGAAGAAGCCCCGGCUAACUCCGUGCCAGCCGCCGCAGUAA
rnacentral:rRNA from 1 species